rnacentral:rRNA from 1 species
CGUGGGUAACCUGCCUGUAAGACUGGGAUAACUCCGGGAAACCGGGGCUAAUACCGGAUGGUUGUCUGAACCGCAUGGUUCAGACAUAAAAGGUGGCUUCGGCUACCACUUACAGAUGGACCCGCGGCGCAUUAGCUAGUUGGUGAGGUAACGGCUCACCAAGGCGACGAUGCGUAGCCGACCUGAGAGGGUGAUCGGCCACACUGGGACUGAGACACGGCCCAGACUCCUACGGGAGGCAGCAGUAGGGAAUCUUCCGCAAUGGACGAAAGUCUGACGGAGCAACGCCGCGUGAGUGAUGAAGGUUUUCGGAUCGUAAAGCUCUGUUGUUAGGGAAGAACAAGUGCCGUUCAAAUAGGGCGGCACCUUGACGGUACCUAACCAGAAAGCCACGGCUAACUACGUGCCAGCAGCCGCGGUAAUACGUAGGUGGCCAAGCGUUGUCCCGGAAUUAUUGGGCGUAAAGGGCUCGCAGGCGGUUUCUUAAGUCUGAUGAAAGCCCCCGGCUCAACCGGGGAGGGUCAUUGGAAACUGGGGAAUUGAGUGCAGAAGAGGAGAUGGAAUUCCACGUGUAGCGGUGAAAUGCGUAGAGAUGUGGAGGAACAAGUGGCGAAGGCGACUCUCUGGUCUGUAACUGACGCUGAGGAGCGAAAGCGUGGGGAGCGAACAGGUUAGAUACCCUGGUAGUCCACGCCGUAAACGAUGAGUGCUAAGUGUUAGGGGGUUUCCGCCCCUUAGUGCUGCAGCUAACGCAUUAAGCACUCCGCCUGGGGAGUACGGUCGCAAGACUGAAACUCAAAGGAAUUGACGGGGGCCCGCACAAGCGGUGGAGCAUGUGGUUUAAUUCGAAGCAACGCGAAGAACCUUACCAGGUCUUGACAUCCUCUGACAAUCCUAGAGAUAGGACGUCCCCUUCGGGCAGAGUGCAGGUGGUGCAUGGUUGUCGUCAGCUCGUGUCGUGAGAUGUUGGGUUAAGUCCCGCAACGAGCGCAACCCUUGAUCUGUUGCCAGCAUUCAGUUGGGCACUCUAGGUGACUGCCGGUGACAAACCGGAGGAAGGUGGGGAUGACGUCAAAUCAUCAUGCCCCUUAUGACCUGGGCUACACACGUGCUACAAUGGACAGAACAAAGGGCAGCGAAACCGCGAGGUUAAGCCAAUCCCACAAAUCUGUUCUCAGUUCGGAUCGCAGUCUGCAACUCGACUG